UACGUAGGUGGCAAGCGUUGUUCGGAAUUAUUGGGCGUAAAGGGCGCGUAGGCGGCUUGUUAAGUCGGCUGUGAAAGCCCGGGGCUCAACCCCGGAGGGUCAGCCGAUACUGGCAGGCUAGAGUACGGAAGAGGUAGCUGGAAUUCCCGGUGUAGAGGUGAAAUUCGUAGAUAUCGGGAGGAACACCGGUGGCGAAGGCGGCGACCUGGGUCGAUACUGACGCUGAGGCGCGAAAGCGUGGGGAGCAAACAGG
rnacentral:rRNA from 1 species